GACGAACGCUGGCGGCGUGCUUAACACAUGCAAGUCGAACGGAAAGGCCCUGCUUGCGGGGUACUCUAGUGGGGAACGGGGGAGUGACACGCGGGUGAUCUCCCCUGCACUUCGGGGUAAGCCUGGGGAACUGGGUCUAAUACCGCGUAUAAGCGCUCUUUAGUGUGAUGGUGGGAUAGAUUUUUGGGUGUGGGAUGAGCUCGCGGCCUAUCAGGUUGUUUGUGGGGUAAUGGCCUACCAAGGCGGCGACGGGUAGCCGGCCUGAGAGGGUGGACGGCCACAUUGGGACUGGGAUACGGCCCAGACUCCUACGGGAGGCAGCAGUGGGGAAUAUUGCACAAUGGGCGCGAGCCUGAUGCAGCGACGCCGCGUGGGGGGUGACGGGCUUCGGGUUGUAAACCCCUUUCGCUAGGGAAGAAGCUGUUUGUGACGGUACUUAGAUAAGAAGCACCGGCUAACUACGUG
rnacentral:rRNA from 1 species